rnacentral:rRNA from 1 species
GCUAGUAAUCGCGGAUCAGAAUGCCGCGGUGAAUACGUUCCCGGGUCUUGUACACACCGCCCGUCACACCAUGGGAGUCGGGAAUGCCCGAAGUCGGUGAGCUAACGAAAGAGGCAGCCGCCGAAGGCAGGCCCGGUAACUGGGGUGAAGUCGUAACAAGGUACC